GAGGGCAUAGCUCAGUGGUAGAGCCCAUGAUUAGCAUGCAUGAGGUCCUGGGUUCAGUCCCCAGUAUCUCCU
rnacentral:tRNA from 1 species